rnacentral:rRNA from 1 species
CCUACGGGUGGCAGCAGUGAGGAAUAUUGGUCAAUGGGCGCGAGCCUGAACCAGCCAAGUAGCGUGAAGGAUGACGGCCCUACGGGUUGUAAACUUCUUUUAUAAAAGAAUAAAGUGAAGCACGUGUGCCUUUUUGUAUGUACUUUAUGAAUAAGGAUCGGCUAACUCCGUGCCAGCAGCCGCGGUAAUACGGAGGAUCCAAGCGUUAUCCGGAUUUAUUGGGUUUAAAGGGAGCGUAGAUGGGUUGUUAAGUCAGUGGUGAAAGUUUGGGGCUGAACCGGAAAAUUGCCAUUGAUACUGGCAGUCUAGAGUAUAGUUGCGGUAGGCGGAAUGCGUGGUGUAGCGGUGAAAUGCUUAGAGAUCACGCAGAACUCCGAUUGCGAAGGCAGCUUACUAAACUGCCACUGACAUUGAUGCUCGAAAGUGUGGGGAUCAAACAGGAUUAGAUACCCUUGUAGUC